GUAAAUUCAGGGCCCAUUGUUUUACAUUUAUGGAUGUAUCAUAUGGCUAGAAUGACAUUUACGAACAAUAUAACAAGACAAAUAUGGUGUAUAACAGCAUCUCCGACCCAUAGAUAUUUCCACCUCUAUAAUAACAUUUAGAGGUGAAAUUACUCCAACCCACCUCUAUUUAUUCUUCUAUAAUAGAGAUCUCUAUUUUUUCCUCUAUUUAUAAAGGAAGAAAUAGCAUUCCUCUAUUUUUUACUUUAUAUUUAGAAAUUGCUAUUUUAGAAAAAUACAUUGGAGCAUAUCCCAUCUCUAUUAUAGAGUUCCUCUAUUUUAGAGGUAAAAAUAGCAAAAUACAUUGGAGAUGGUCUAAACCUCUUCAUCUUUGACUAGAAAGUAGAGUAUUUGGUCAUAUUCAUUUCGCUGUUUUUAGUUAGAUGUUGACAUGUUUUAUAUAUUGUUUGUUUUCUUAUAUCGUAAGCAAUGAAUCAGUGACUACAUUAUGUCUGUUUUGUAGUCGUUUGUCUAACUUGUUAAUAGAUUUUCAACAGCUAAAGAUCAAAAAUUUCAGAUUAGGAAUUAUUGUUGUUAGACUAUGUCGAACUAGUUAUUAAUUACAAGGAAACAUGAUGAGUUUAUCAUUGACACGUAUUUGUUAAACCAGCGAUAACAACACAAACAUACGGUUAAUUUCUCUACUUUACCAAAACUAGAUUGUUAUGAUCUCUGAUUCAGGUGUAGUAAAAACAUGAAAUGGAACCUUGGGGCAGUAUAAUGUGUAUGAACAUGUAAACCAUGUGUAUUAACUUCGCGCCUUCCUUCAAAUAGAACCUUAUACGCGAGUUUGUGGAGAGAGAAACAACAUUAAAGUUCCAGAUGGAAUCUAACUCUUAAAAGUACUACACACUCUACACAUAUUAAAACGAACAUUAGCAUAUACUCUUUCCUAUGUGUAUCAUAGUCGGCCAUCUGCUUUUCCUUUAUGUUUUCCCCUUCCCUAAAGGUCAAAUUGCCCUUGGUAAUAUCACGAGGAGUCAAAUUAGUGAGUCUACAUAUUUCAAAAUAAGUACAUGUGAACCGAUGAAAGAAAUAACAAAAGGUCUGAGAAAAGGCCCUAAAAAGAGCAAAAAAGGGAAACAUGUGGAGAAAAGAGUUUCCCACAGGCAAGUCAUGUGUUCAUAAAUCAUACUUAUGACAUCUCCUUAAUAUGCACUGAUAUUUUUAUCAUAUAUACAUGCAACUUGCCAUAUACCAGUAUAUAUAUAUUAAAUAUAUUUUGUCAGUCUUAAGUUAUCAAAAGUUUAUAAAUUUUGUGGCAGAUGCAAGUUCUAGAUUUUUGAGAAGUGAAUUGUCGCACUAAUUAAAGUGAUUCGAUUGUAUGAUAUGAUGAGCAUUUAUCUAUCUAGGGGUUAAAUAGAUUGGUCUAAGUUUGGAUAGAUCAUUUUGUAGAUAUCAAGUUUAACUUUCAUAUAAUGGAUCAUGUAGUUGUAUAUGUAUGACAUGACAUAUGCAUAGUUUUAUACAAGUCGAUCACUAUCACACUCUAGUGUUACCUAGAUUAUAACAUUCCCCCUUUUAUAAACCCAAAUAAACGUAUGAACAUGUAUGAAUCUUGAUUUAACUAGUCUCAAAAUCUUGUCCAGAAUCAUGUUAGCAUGAAAGUACGAUCACCAGUAGUAACUUAGAUUACUUUGAAAUUUAGAAAUUUUAGAUAACAUUUUUGUGGAGUAUAUUAUCUUAAAAUGGGUUCAUGUCACCUCUUGAUUAUUUAUUUGGGGGGAGGGGUGUUAUAAGACAAAGAUGGGUAUGAGAUUGUGAAUGUGCUGGUUAUAAGGUGGACAAAUAAAUUAGGGCGUUAACCAAACAUGUUUGUGUAGGCUCCCAUGUAUGUGCAUGUGUUUUGGUCUCUCAUGGCAUGGUGGUCUGGUUUAUGACAUUUUGGUUUUAUUCUGUAUUAUUUUUUUUUUGUUGGGGGUCUUGUUAUCACAUGUUUGUCUACUAUUGGAUAUAAGCUGGGCUGGAUUGUUACCAUAAAUGGAACCCAUGUGAUGAAAAGAUAGCUUGUGCAUAUAUCAUAUAGUUCGAGUGACUAGUAUAUGUAUAAUAUACAGAGAGGGUGAGUUGGUCUACUAAGAAGGAUAAGCUAUAAAAUAACUUUGACUUAUAGAUACAUUAAUAAACAUAUUCCAAUUGUAAUAUUUCUACAUAUCGUUAUGUCAAAAACGGCAUCCACCAAGCUUCUUAUAGAUGGAUCGGUCCCCAGUUAGUAAAUUCGAUAGCUUUCAAUAUUAUUUUACAUUGUGCACCGAGGUUUUUGCAUAAUUUUUUGGAAUGUGAACUAGUUUAACAGCAUUAUAAGCGCUCAGAAUGUCAAAUGUCGAACAUGGUUAACAAUGAGCUGUCACAAACCAAUCUUAUUAUAAACUAAGGUUUCGCCCAAGAUAUUGCAUAUUCUUAAAUUGAAAAGCACUCACAAGAAUGUUUUUUUUCACUCACAAGAAUGUUAAUUAUGUUUAUCUGUGUAUAAUUAUAUAUUGGAUGAAUUAGCCAAAUGACCAAAUUUGAAAAGGAAAUUAAGUGUAUAACAUUGAUUUUGACAUAAUAAAGCUCAUAACAAUUAUGUCAAUUUCUAUCCGGUAAUACCCUUAUUUUGUUCAAGUUGCCAGUAAUAGAGAGAGAAACUGAUGACAUCAACAAUUUGACACCCCCACAAUUAAUUAUCACACGUAAUUCAAUCAACACCACACUUUUGUUUAACAGAUAAAUAUACAUCUAAUUUUUCUAUACCAUAUUACUAAAAAUAAUAGGAUUCAAAAUCCACUCACACCUAGUAAAUACUAAACUUUAAUCCAAACCUCAACUCCAAAAUAAUAAACCCUAAACUUUAAACAUCACCCUUCCAUCUAAAUACUAAACUCUAAACCCUAAUUACUGAAUCCUAAACCCAAAUAUAAACCUUAAACCCAAUUAUCAAAAUCUGAAAAUAGUAUAUAAUAUUAUGUAAUAUUAAACUAAAUCCAAACAAAACUCCUCAAUGCUAAACUCAGACCUAACUUUUGAAUACUAAACCCAAAAAUGCUAUCACUAAACCCAAACCUAAACUCCCACCUUCCAAAUACUAAACCCUAAAUCCUAAUCACUAAACCCUAAACCCAAGUAUAGGCUAUAAACCCAAAUAGAAUGGAACAAAAUACAUAGUAUAGUAUAAAUUGGUAAGAAAAAAAAAACACUCUUUUUUAAUCGUCAAAUGGAACAUACAUAAUACGGUCACUAAACCCAAACAUCAACCCCCACCUUCCAAAUACUAAACCCUAAAUCUUAAUCAUUAAACCUAAACCCAAGUAUAAACUCUAAACCCAAAUAGUAUAGAACAAAAUAAAUAGUAUAGUACAUAUAGUUGUAAACAAGAAAUUGAUAAAUAAUGAAUUUAUCAAACAAUCGAUGGUACAAUAAUACAACAACCGUAGCAUACUAUUUAGUUUGGUACUUGCGAAUCGUACAAAAAUAUAAGAAUCGUACUAUACUAUAAUUUUCUUUCACUACAUAUAGUAUAGUCGACGAGUUCAUCUUCCUCUUUUUACAGACAUGGUGAUACACAGAUUCACUAGUCCAGAGUAAUUAUUCUUCAUCAUACCAUAUCAAUACAGCAUACUAUAACAAUUUAAAUAACAAAGAAAAAAAUCAAGAUGAACAACAUUGAAAAAAACUAAAAAAAAAAAAAAUUGUGAUGUCACCUCGUUGUUGUCUAUGGUGCCAUCUUCUCCUCCAAACUCAAUUCCACAAGCCCAAAAUCCAUAUUAUUUCUUAGUCUAGUGGUUUGUGUUCGUAUGUAUAAAAAAAACAGAGAUUGGAGGAGAAGAGGAAGAAGAAGAGAAAAAUAUGUGGAACAAUGAUAACCACAAUUUAUUAAAUUAUUUAUUUAAUAUUUCUUUUGAUAAAUAACUCUCAGCAGGUCACACAGGUUGAAUUGAAGGGUAAUAUAGCAUUAUUACAUAAAAUACAUGUACUGUAGAUGAAAGUUAGGGGUUUUAGUUAUGUAAUGAAUUAUAAUUUGUUUGAAUGUUAUACAGCCCAAUUUCCCUUAUAUAUUCUAUAUAUUCUAGAAAAUAAAUGCACAUCUAUAAACUUAGCAUCAUGUUGAAACGUUUUCUUGUGUUAUUAAAACUAGACAGCACGUCUUUUUUUGUUAACUAGUAUAUUAAAUAAAGUUCCGCAAAUAUACUAAGAACCUAAGAACAUCUCCGAUGAUAAACUUUAUUCUUUUCUUUAAAAUAUAAAGUUUUUCAAAAAAUGAAGAAGUAUGUUCUCCAAUAGUUUACUUCAUUUUUUUCUUAAAAGGAAUAUUCAAAUAUAUUAUUUUCACUUUUAUCAUUAUUUAUCAAUAACACUUUUUACUUUUGCUAGUUUACUAAUUUUACCUAGUUAUUUUAUUUUAACAAUAUCUCACCAAAAUUGCUAAUUAGUAUAAAAUAAACAUUAUCAUAUAAUAUAAUUAGUAUACAUAGCAUAAAUAAAUAACACAAAAACGCUAGAUUUUAUAAGGAAGCAUGAGAUGUAUAUUUUUCCCACAUAUGAUCAAUUAAAUUGUACCGAAGAGUGAAAUGCCUUUCUUGAUCUUUAAUUCUUCUAAACCGAGCAAAACAAUUCUUGAAAACGAAUAUUAUCAUGUUUUUCGAUAUCAACCUCUGGAAGUGGAACUUCCACCAACUUCAAUUGGAGCAUCAAGAUCACGUUUAUCUUCAAUUAUCAUGUUAUGUAGAAUUAUACAUGUAGUUAUUAUGUCAUGUAUUUCGGUUUUUAUAUUAUUUAUGUAAUUGUGUUUCAUCUAAAAUAUUAGUAAAAAAGAAAAAAAAUCUGUUUUUAGUUUAUUUAAUAUUUUAAAUUGAUUGAAUAAAAAUAACAAUAUAAAACAUUGAAAUUAAGUUGGUAAUAUUAGUUCUUAUAGGUUAUUUAAGUAAAAACUAAGAACAUGUUAAAGUUAAAGGACCAAUCUAUAAUUAAAAAAAUGUAUCUUCAAAAAAUGAAAAAGAAAUAUUAAUAAAACAAAAAAUGAAACAAAAAGUGGAAAAUAAAACUUCAUUGAAGAUGCUCUAAGACAUAGCUCGAAUGAAAUACAUGUGAUAAAACUGGUAAAGACAUACUUUCCGGAGUCAAGGACUCAAGAGCCCAAACAAAAAAAUUUAAAACAACAAUAAAAUCUUAAACAACAAGACUAUUCAUGAAACUCAACUCUUUUUUUUAUCGUUUAUUAGUGAGAGAACAAAAAAAAAACAAAAUAGAAAGAAAUGAGAUAGUAAUUCCAAACCAAAAUGUCAAAAGCACCGUAUAAGAAAAUCUUUUGUUUAACCCUCGUCUCAAAAUAAUCAGAGAUACAUCGAAGCUACAAACUCAAUCCGUCCAUCCCAUUAAUCAGAAUAUCUAUGGAUAUCUUAUUUAAAAUGAUUUAAGUUGCAUAGUUUUUUUAUCAGAGUAUUUUUAUCAGGAUACUUUAUUUUAUAAUUAAUACAAUAAUUAGUUAAGCGUUUAUCUACAACAUGAAAACUUAUGAUUUGAUAUAAAAAUUUAAUUUGCAUUUUCAUCUCAUUAUAUAUAUAAUACUACUAAGAUGAUUGACAUUUAUCAGACAUGACUAUACCAAUCAUAUGUUAGUAUGCGACAAUUUACUGACCUAUGAAAGUUUGAAUGUACUUUCUUAGGUUCAAAACUAGUUGACUAGUAAACGUGUUGAAAAUGUUACAAUAUAUGUAAGUAGUAAUUAAGAAAGGUGGCAAGGUUCCACAUAAAUAGUUAGAAAUUUGAUUUUAAUAAUCAAUUAAAAUCAAUUAUAAAAGGUUUCUCUCGUUCCUUUUUGUUUAGUAGUACAUUUGAGGAUGAUAACUUUCGUAUGAUUCGAAGCCAAAUCUAGAUCGAUCUGCAUGACCGCAAAAUCUAUUAAAACUGGACUACCCAGGAUUAGUCCAUCGCAACAUCCUAGAAGAAAAUGUUGGAAUUGAAAUUAUUUAAAUAAAUAGUGAGGAAGUUAGAAGAAGAGAUCAGUUUCAAAAAAAACAAAAAAAGGUUCGAAGAAGAGACGUAGUAAAUAAAGGGAGGCCCCCUCGUGUGGAACGUGAGCAGUACACUCCAAUUAUAUAACUUGUGCUCUGUCUUAACUUGUGGGGGCACCUGCCACUGUUCUGCUUCUUCUUCACUUUUUCUCUAUCUCUCUUCUUUCAACCACUUUUGUCCUUUCUCUUUCUCUCUUUCUCUCCCCCACACAUCUGUUAUCCAUUUUUGGGGCAGUGAAAAUUAAUUUCGUCGCUCCAAUCUUGUUGUUCUUACUUGAUCUAUAACUUUCAACAAUUUAUUACCCUUUUUCAUGUAUCAGAUUCUAUUUUCACCAAAAUAGAAUCUUUUUCAUUCUAGGUGAUUCAAAGUAGAGUAAAUAAAACCUUAGAAAUAGGUCUAUACUUGCUAUUUGUGACACCUAGCUACCUAUAUUAAGGUUUGAAUAGAAUUUCAACGUUUGUUAAUAUUAUGUGCUUAUUUCUUAUCCGAAUGAUGAAGGUUCAUAAGAUUUUCGGAGAUGCUUCUGUAAAAAAACUUUGCAAGGUGAUGUGGCCAAACAAAGACCACAAUGUGAACGUUUUUUUCUUAUCAUACCGGAGUGUAACUAAAAUUUGUGGUUUCAGAAAAAUAAUAUAAUAUAUCAGUUUAGAAAAUGUGAUCUAUUAUGAUCAGGACUUUUUGUAAAAUAUUAUAUGAUUUUUUGGGAUUAAAGAUAAGUGGGUUGGUAUGGAAAGUGUUAAUAUAAUUCUUUUGUUAAUAUAAAAAAUGUUGAUAUAAUUCAAAUAUUAUUUUUUCUUUCAUUUUGAGAUUUUAAUAGGGAAAAAAACUUAAAAGAUUCCUCCACUAUUUUCGAAAUCUGUCUUAUUUUCCAGAGUUUUCUGUAUCAGAGGAUAAGUUCAGUACUUCAAUAAUUGGUACCCAAUUUGUAACAUAAGAUUUUAGUAGUACGAAGUUAUUCUGCCGAGAGGAAGUACCCAUUUUUAUCUAACUGGCUGUAUACUGAAUAUCCAAAUUAUUAUUAGAAUUCUACUUAAAUAAAAUAAAUUAUAUUCAUUUCUGUAAAGAUAUAUAUUUAUGAUCGAACAAUGGUGUACAGCAGGUAUUAUGGAUCGCAGCUAUGCAUUCUAUUUUUACGUAACCUAUAAAUGUGGUACUAGUUAAUUACUUAUUGCUCAGACCAAAAAUAAUCAAUUAUAGUAUUAAAUGUUUUAAUUUACAUCAUACUAAGAAAUCAAUGCAUGAUUCAUUUAAUUAAGAAAGAAAAAACAA